rnacentral:rRNA from 1 species
UUGCUUCUCUUGAGAGCGGCGGACGGGUGAGUAAUGCCUAGGAAUCUGCCUGGUAGUGGGGGAUAACGUCCGGAAACGGACGCUAAUACCGCAUACGUCCUACGGGAGAAAGCAGGGGACCUUCGGGCCUUGCGCUAUCAGAUGAGCCUAGGUCGGAUUAGCUAGUUGGUGGGGUAAUGGCUCACCAAGGCGACGAUCCGUAACUGGUCUGAGAGGAUGAUCAGUCACACUGGAACUGAGACACGGUCCAGACUCCUACGGGAGGCAGCAGUGGGGAAUAUUGGACAAUGGGCGAAAGCCUGAUCCAGCCAUGCCGCGUGUGUGAAGAAGGUCUUCGGAUUGUAAAGCACUUUAAGUUGGGAGGAAGGGCAGUAAAUUAAUACUUUGCUGUUUUGACGUUACCGACAGAAUAAGCACCGGCUAACUCUGUGCCAGCAGCCGCGGUAAUACAGAGGGUGCAAGCGUUAAUCGGAAUUACUGGGCGUAAAGCGCGCGUAGGUGGUUCGUUAAGUUGGAUGUGAAAUCCCCGGGCUCAACCUGGGAACUGCAUUCAAAACUGACGAGCUAGAGUAUGGUAGAGGGUGGUGGAAUUUCCUGUGUAGCGGUGAAAUGCGUAGAUAUAGGAAGGA